CCUUAUUUUCUCUUUCAGUGUAGUUUAGAGCCCCUGCUUGGUAAACAGCCUGAUUUAUUUUUAACCACGCAACUGAAAAAGGAACGAUAAUUUAAAGUGGAUCAUCAAGCACAACUGGAAGAACAAGGCUGCAAGCAGCGAAGAAAGUAGCUUCACAUAUUUGAUCCUGAAGACAGAUGGUACUGGGAUUGACAAUGCAGGCAUGAAUAAUGGAGCCCUUAUGUCCCAACAAUACUACAGGGAUCACUCCGCAGAAAAGGAACUGGGCUCAAACAUGGACUCAGUCUUGGGAGCAUUCGUGCGCGGAGAAACAAUCCAGUUUCUCCAGUACUUUGCGUUAUUGAGUAUCUGACGAUGGCUUCUACCACCUAUCAUCACAAUGGGAGGACUGUAAAUUCACAGCUUGAUGGACAGCUAAGUGGGAAUUCAUUGCCACGGAGUGCAGUGGAGGCCGGGGCGAUGGAUGCCUUCAAGGCAGAGAUCGACAAAUUCUUGAUCUCAAAAGGAAUCAAGGGCUACGGGGAGAGUGCAGAGAAGUGCUGUUGAAAUGCCCAUCAGCCAUGAUUUAAAUGGCGGAGUGGACUUGUUGGGCUGAAUGGCCUUACUUCCACUCCUAUGUCUUAUGGUCUUAAAAAGAAUCAGCUAUAUUUUCUGGAGGGCUGUGAAAUACAACUGUUUUCUGAAGAAGUGUCUAGGCCUGAAACAUCAGCUUUCCUGCUCCUCUGAUACUGCUUGGCCUGCCAUGUUCAUCCAGCUCUACACCUUGUUGUCUCAAAUACAAUUGUUUGUUUUGUAAUGGAUUAAGCAGUUGAACAGAUUU